ACAAACCUAGGCCACCAAAGUGGAGUGCACUGGAUUUAACCACUAUGCCAUGGGGCUGGCCCCUAUUUUGGCCUGUUAUACCCUUCAAUGUUGGCUGUUCUUUACUUCACACAUUGUGUGGCACAUAAUAGUAGGCUGAUGAAAAGUCUCAGAUCCACUGCAUCCUUAAUGGUUAGUGCAGAAAGAGCUCAGCUUGAGUACCAUUAGGUGAGUGCUUUUAAAAAUUUCAAAUCCCCAUGGCAAGUUUCUACUGGUUUUUACCCUUUGGAUUUUCUUCAUUUUACCACUGGUCCCCUUGUUCUAUUUUUAAUGUCUUUCCUUUCAUCUCUCUUCAUUUCUUUCACAUUUUCCCCCACUUUUUCCAUCUUCUGCCCCUAUUUCAACUCAAGGACUGAUGUAGACAGCAAUAGCAGGACAUGUCAGUCCCUUUGUGUCACUUUCUAUUUUCUGCUGGAUCUUGUAGUUACUUUCUUACCUCAAUUCAGUUAUGUUGAGCAAAUGUUUAUGGAGCAGCUGCUGUGCUGGACAUUUGCUAGGCCCUAGAGACAACAAAAUAUCAAACAAUUCUUGCUUCUAGUAUUUCGCAGUUUUAGGAGUCUCGAUUCCUCUCACGUAUGUUGUGAUUGCAAGCUUCUUGAAGUUUCUCUGUGGGCUUAGAAUAGCUUGCACAUCGGUAGUGUUUAUUAGUGUGGGAAAUGAAUUAAACUGAAUUGAUAACCAACCUGGAAUCUGUUAUCUUUCUUCUACUCCUCUUCAAUCCUAUCUGUGAUACAAUAAGAAAUAUAUAUAUGUUUAGUCUUUGUCCCCAGUUCUGAAUACAGAGUUCCUAAAUCCCUUGGAAUUUCCUGACUGUUUAGAGUAUCUUUUGUUAUAAUGAAGUGACUUUUGGUGAGCCCCUUGAUGGCUUCAGGAUAGGAGCUGGUCACCAGAAAGACCAAGACUUGAUUAGAGGUUUGGAAAUUUCAGUUCUAUUUCCAAUCUCCAGGGAGGGGAGAGAGGCUGGAGAUUGAGUUAAUCACCAAUGGCCAAUGAUCAAUCAUGGCUGUGUAUGAGUUCCUGGAGUUUCUGGAUUGGUGAAUACAAGGAGGUGCUGGGAGGGUGGCCCAUCCCAGGGAGGCGGUGUAAGCCACUUCCCUCCUACCUGGCCUUUUGCGUCUCUUCUAUUUGGCUACUCCUGAAUUGUAUCCUUUAUAAUUAACCAGCACCAGUAGCAAAACUAUUUUUCUGAGUUCUAUGAGCCAUUCUAGGAAGUUAUCAAACCUGGGAGUAUGGGUCAUGGGAACCUUAAUUUGUAGCUGGCUGCUCAGAGGAAUAGGUAACAACCCGAGUGGAGGCAGGUUUCCCUCUCUCUGCUGUGUGGGGAUACAAGGAAAAGUCAGCUGUACAUUAAUCUAUCAUUUGCCUGUUUAGCAUUGUAUCAGUCAGGAUCCCAACAGAAAGCAGGUUACACUCAAGUUAGAAUGCUUUUUUUCCCCCAGCUAGACUAUCUACAGAGCUGUGAGUAAGGUGUAGAGUAACCAUAAGACAUACAGCCCUAACCUGGGGUUGGCAGCCACAGGGCAGUUAACAUCCCUAAGCCUGAAGGGAGGAAAGGAGGGAGUGCUUAUCAGAAGGGAAUGAAAGGGCUGCCUUGAAAAGAACCGUGACCUUGGGCCAAAGGACACAGUAACAAGAGAGUUAAUACCCAUAUUCUCUUCUGUUCCAUUUCUCCUAGGAGUCUGCCUUGGAUGAAUCCAACUGAAAACAGAGGGCAAGGGAAUCCUUUGGUGUGGUCCAUCCAGAAAUGAUGGAGGGUGGCCUCCAAGGCUGGGUCACCUUGAGGUUCUUGCCUUGGAUCACUGGCUCUGGGGGACACCAGCUGCAAGGUCAUGAGGACACUCUCACAGGUGUAUAUGAAGAGCUGAAGCCUCCUACAGCAACUGCUUACCAGCCAUGGGAGUGAACCUUCUUAGAAGAGAUCCUUCAGCCCCAGUCAAGCCAUCAUGUGACUGCGACUCUGGCAGACAUCAUGACUGCAAUCUCAUGACAGAUCUCAAGCAGAACCACCCAGCUAAGCUGCUCCCAAAUUCCUGGCCCUUCGAAACUACGUGAACUAAUAAUUGCUUGUUGUUACUUCAAGCAACUAAGUUUUGGAGUGAUUUGCUAUGUAGCAAUAGAUAACCAAUCGUGACACGGUUAAUUUUGUGUCAACUUGAUUAGGCCACAGGAUGUCCAGAUAGCUGGUGAAACAUUCUUUCUGGAUGUUUCCAGAAGAGAUUAGCAUUUGAAUUGAUGGACUGAGUAAAGCAGCUGCCCUCCCUAACGUGGGUGGUCCGAAUAGAACAAAAAGGAGGCUCACCUGGAUGGACCACACCAAAGGAUUCCCUUGCCCUCUGUUUUCAGUUGGAUUCAUCCAAGGCAGACUCCUAGGAGAAAUGGAACAGAAGAGAAUAUGGGUAUUAACUCUCUUGUUACUGUGUCCUUUGGCCCAAGGUCACGGUUCUUUUCAAGGCAGCCCUUUCAUUCCCUUCUGAUAAGCACUCCCUCCUUUCCUCCCUUCAGGCUUAGGGAUGUUAACUGCCCUGUGGCUGCCAACCCCAGGUUAGGGCUGUAUGUCUUAUGGUUACUCUACACCUUACUCACAGCUCUGUAGAUAGUCUAGCUGGGGGAAAAAAAGCAUUCUAACUUGAGUGUAACCUGCUUUCUGUUGGGAUCCUGACUGAUACAAUGCUAAACAGGCAAAUGACAGAUUAAUGUACAGCUCUUACAGCCAAACAGCUCCUAGUAACAGCUACGCUGGUGUUUGGGGACCUUCCACAUCCCUGCUGCCACUGAGAAUUUUGCUUCCUUUCUUCAUCCUUCCUUCUCUGACUCACACCCAACAUUCACAUGACCUCUCAGCUUGCCUGGUGGCUCAGAUUGGUCUUCAUUGACCAGCCUGGGAGAGUUUAGAGAAAGAGGAUGGUAAGAUUCCUGGAGACAGUAGGAUGCCCCAGCACUGUGGCUAUUUAUUUACCACCUUCCACCCUUCCAGUCCAGAACACCAGCCCUGGCUCCUAGAAUGAGAGCCUAGGAAAAUCAGAAAGUGGAUGUUCCCUGUAACUUGGACUCCAGGGUGAUUAUGAGGUUGGUAUUCGUGUGCUGAGAUGCUGGGGCAGAAAGACAAGAAAGGGCCUGGCUCUGAUGACCGUGGAGCCUCCACAGCAACGCUGCCCAUCUCCAGACUUUUCUGAUGUACGAGAGAAAUGAACUUCUCUCUUGUUUGAGCCACUAUCAUUUUGGAUUUUCUGUUACAGGCGGAAAAACAUUCCUGCCUUGGCUGCCAGCCUCUCUUGGUGCCAUUGCAGGUUGGAAAGAUUUGUGGGCUGACCAGAGAACUAGCUACUAUAAUUUCUAGCGUUGCUUUAAAGGAAAAUUCAUUCUGAGUUACAAACAACCAAUUAACAAAAGCUUUCUUAAGAACAUAGCCAUUCAUUCAUUCACCAACUAUUUAUCAACAGCCUACUACUUUGAAGCACUAUUCUGGGUGCUAGUAACACAGCAGUGAAGAAAAUAGAAUAAAAUACUUCCUAUUAAUAAAUAUUAUUUAACACUUGGAAAUAAAGCAAAAAUGUGGAUGGCAUGUCUUUACAAUAUCAUGGGAGGACAUUGUCUAUCUGGCCCAUCCAAGGGUUAUUUAAUAAUCUAAGAGGAAUAUACCUUGUUCAAAUCACCGUUUACUCUUGUUUAAGGUCCCAAUCUUAGUGAAGUUACUUUUUUUUUUUUUUUGAGGAAGAUUAGCCCUGAGCUAACAUCCACUGCCAGUCCUCCUCUUU